AGCUUCUCGAUGGAAGCGUAGCUGUGGUGGAGAACCUUGCGCAUAAUGCACAAGUUAUGCCAUGCAUAAAUGGAAGGAAGUUCCUGAAGAAAGAUUCAGUAUAUUUGUCACAUUAUACCUCAUCAGCACUGGGAAUAUUGAUUGUGUCCAAGCCUUCUUUGCUGCUGUGUUGGCGUCUGAUAUGGGUCUCAGAAAAACGCAUGCGAGUUCCAUUCAAAAAGAAGCUGAUGUGUUUCCUCUUUUGCACCUGAAGAUAUAAAUGACGAAGAAACUCCUCUAUAUUGAAUUGUACAAUACGUAUAUUGUUUUUCUUUAAGGUGAACAAUAUGCAGUCGUCAAGUUUCCAGAGGAAGGCGACUCGGUGGCUCUUGUACGUACCAAAUGGCUGCAUGGUGAUGUCUGCUUGUGGCCACAGGAUUCCAUAAAUGUUCCGUAUUUAGAAAAUGUGGAGCCUUUCCAUCUUCCCACUGGCAAGUCGUGCCAUGUGUCGUGCCAUGUGAAACUUACACAUUGACGUGACAAAAGCUCAAGCAAGCUGAAAAUGGGUCAGACUUCGUGAGUGAAGUGGACCUGGGAAGCGGCAAAAGAAAAAAAAAGUGUGCAGCGACUACCACUUCCACCGCUCUCUAUGAUUAAAAAAGCACAGAAGAGGAAUGGGAGAUGUAUUCAAAAGCACUCAUCACAUGCAUCAACAUCUAGGGCUAAUGUUCCGAAAAUUUGCAGUAAGUCUGUGC